rnacentral:misc_RNA from 1 species
AAAGAAUUUUUCUUUUUUUUUUUUUUCACUUCAGUGCCAGCUAGACUUUAUUGCUUGGUUUCAAAAAAAUUACAAGUCCUUGAAGCAAUGGCUUCAAUAUAUCCAUCAGUACCAUAAAAAAUAAAUAUUUUAACCCCUUGUAAGUAUUGUGCUUAAUCUCUUAUACUUUUAUUUUCUACAUUCUAAAAUUUUGCUUAGACUAUUUAGUAGUUGAGAAUAAUGCAACAUCAAUUCGCAAGAACAAAAGGUAAGUAUUAAAAGUCACAAAAUUUCAAUAAUGGAACACUAAGAACUUUUUAACCUAGGAUGCAAGGUCUUAGUGAAUAUAAAACAAGAAGAUUAGUGAUUUUGAAAAUAUAUUCUUGGCACUCCAUUGUCUUUGUAAACUUAGAGGUUAGAAGGAAAUGGACUUCCAAUAACUAGUAUCAGAGUGGAAUAUCAUUCCCCUAAAAAAAAAGGAAUAAAUUACUUGGUAUUUUAACAUUUUCAAUUGUUAUGAAGUGUUUGAACUUUUUCAGCAACCAAGUGUCCAAGCAGGGAAAUUUAUUUCAAUUAGGUGCAUUUGGUCAGUUUACUUACUGAAAUACUAAAAUCAACCAUUUUACCCCCAUAAAUAGUAAUACCCUUAUUUUUCCAUUUCAUUCAUCUCUCUCUCUAUUACUUAGUCACCAUUUUCCCCUUACUUUGCCUCUGUAACCCAAAAUUGCUUCAAAAUUGAAACCAUAAUCUCCACUAAUAAAUCAGAACAAUUCCUAUUUAUUUAUUCUACACGGACCCACAAUGCAAUAACACAACAAUUUUUACAUGUUUAGUUGCAAAGUAAAUGCAAAAGGAAAUAAUAAAAAAAAUUGCAUGGUCACUAAGAAUGUAAGGAACAAGAAUAAAGAUUUUUGGGCUUGUUUGGUUUCUGACAAAAUGCAAGAUAAAAGAAUAGACUGUAAGGAACAAGAAUAAAGAUUGUUGGGCUUGUUUGGUUUCUGACAAAAUGCAAGAUAAAAGAAUAGACUGUAAGGAACAAGAAUAAAGAUUG